CGGCAAGUCCCACACGAUCAGCUCCCGCUGAAUUCCCCCAGGACCGGAAGGUAGCAAGGGUAGGUGGUUGUAGCGGUGCGAUGUGGGUCGCUUGCCACUU
rnacentral:SRP_RNA from 1 species